rnacentral:piRNA from 1 species
UGUGAACUGAGACAGAGGGAGAUAAAGCC